UGUAAAGCUUUUAUUAUUAUUAUUUUUAAGAGACUUCCUUUACUUUAACAUUAAAAUGAUGACUCACAACGCCUUUAAUAUCAUAGGACGUUUCCAAAAGCUGCAUGUCUUCAAAUCCCUCACAUAAUUGUCAACCACCUCCAAAAAGUAAAAAAAAAAAACCAUUAGCAUUGUUCCCCUUUCCGUCAACCUCUCUGUCCAUUCUUCACAAGACGAAGCAGACAAGUUGCAACUGUGUGGACGGACUGUCUCCACAAACGCUUAGAGGCUCAGCGAUUCGAACACAAAGACUGGCAAACAGAAGGGUUUCAGGCAGGGUCACGACAGAUAAUGCCAAGGAGUGGCGCUAAAGUCGAGAGCGAUGUUAGCAUUAGAACAAACAAAGUCAACCACGGCCAUGAAAGCUGCCUGUCAGAGGCGGAUCAGGAAACAAAGGAAUUGGGGCAAAAAUAUGAGGAACAACCAUGGAGAAUCAAACAUCUGUCACGUAGACCAAAGGCGCAAAGCGAACACUUCCAGCAGCAGGGUCCAAGCGGCGGGGUGACGUAGACAAGUCCAGCUCCUCAGGGACAGCAGCGAUGGCUAUCUAUGUCUGACUGUUAUGGCUAUCUCUAAUAGGAGCCCAGAACCCACUGACCAUGGCGAACGGGGCCGACAGGAUGUGACUUAAUGUUUUCUUUUAUUCUUCAAUCAUUGCAAGCAAACGUUUUAUGAGCCAGAGGUUUCUAAAAGACAGCGAUUGGUUGAUUUCAUGUUUUAUGUGAGUAAAACAUGUAAUGUAACACAAAGUGCAACUGUUAUAAACGUGAAUAAAAUGAUGUGUACUGUUCAAAUGUACUUUUGUUCGUGGCUGUUUUUGCCCUAUUGAUGUCCAUUAAAAAAGUGUGGAUUUUCUGCACAAUUAGGGGUAGAGUUAGGGUUAGGGGCAGGCCGGACCCUUACCCAUUACA